GAUGAACGCUGGCGGCGUGCCUAAUACAUGCAAGUCGAGCGAACAGACGAGGAGCUUGCUCCUCUGACGUUAGCGGCGGACGGGUGAGUAACACGUGGAUAACCUACCUAUAAGACUGGGAUAACUUCGGGAAACCGGAGCUAAUACCGGAUAAUAUAUUGAACCGCAUGGUUCAAUAGUGAAAGACGGUUUUGCUGUCACUUAUAGAUGGAUCCGCGCCGCAUUAGCUAGUUGGUAAGGUAACGGCUUACCAAGGCAACGAUGCGUAGCCGACCUGAGAGGGUGAUCGGCCACACUGGAACUGAGACACGGUCCAGACUCCUAUGGGAGGCAGCAGUAGGGAAUCUUCCGCAAUGGGCGAAAGCCUGACGGAGCGACGCCGCGUGAGUGAUGAAGGUCUUCGGAUCGUAAAACUCUGUUAUUAGGGAAGAACAAAUGUGUAAGUAACUAUGCACGUCUUGACGGUACCUAAUCAGAAAGCCACGGCUAACUACGUGCCAGCCGCCGCAGUAA
rnacentral:rRNA from 1 species